AAUGAACGCUGGCGGCAUGCCUAACACAUGCAAGUCGAACGAAGCCUUCGGGCUUAGUGGCGCACGGGUGCGUAACGCGUGGGAAUCUGCCCUUGGGUUCGGAAUAACAGUGAGAAAUUACUGCUAAUACCGGAUGAUGUACGAAAAGACCAAAAGAUUUAUCGCCCGAGGAUGAGCCCGCGUAGGAUUAGCUAGUUGGUGAGGUAAAAGCUCACCAAGCGACGAUCCUUAGCNGGUCUGAGAGGUAUGAAUCAGCCACACUGGGACUGAGACACGGCCCAGACUC
rnacentral:rRNA from 1 species